AACGAACGCUGGCGGCAGGCCUAACACAUGCAAGUCGAACGCCCGUAGCAAUACGGGAGUGGCAGACGGGUGAGUAACGCGUGGGAACGUGCCCUUCGGUUCGGAAUAACUCAGGGAAACUUGAGCUAAUACCGGAUACGUCCGUAAGGAGAAAGAUUUAUCGCCGAAGGAUCGGCCCGCGUCGGAUUAGCUAGUUGGUGAGGUAACGGCCCACCAAGGCGACGAUCCGUAGCUGGUCUGAGAGGANGAUCAGCCACACUGGGAC
rnacentral:rRNA from 1 species